UGGGGAAUCUUGCGCAAUGCGCGAAAGCGUGACGCAGCAACGCCGCGUGGAGGAAGACGGUCUUCGGAUUGUAAACUCCUUUCAGUUGGGACGAAGCUCAAGGGGUUAAUAGCCUCGUGGAGUGACGGUACCUUCAGAAGAAGCCCCGGCUAACUACGUGCCAGCAGCCGCGGUAAUACGUAGGGGGCUAGCGUUGUCCGGAAUCAUUGGGCGUAAAGCGCGUGUAGGCGGUCCGGUAAGUCCGCUGUGAAAGUCGGGGGCUCAACCCUCGGAUGCCGGUGGAUACUGUCGGGCUUGAGUACGGAAGAGGCGAGUGGAAUUCCUGGUGUAGCGGUGAAAUGCGCAGAUAUCAGGAGGAACACCAAUUGCGAAGGCAGCUCGCUGGGACGUUACUGACGCUGAGACGCGAAAGCGUGGGGAGCAAACA
rnacentral:rRNA from 1 species